UACGUAGGGGGCCAGCGUUGUCCGAAGUUACUGGGCGUAAAGAGCGCGUAGGCGGGUCUUUAAGUGGGGGGUGAAAUUCUGAGGCUCAACCUCGGAACUGCCUCCCAUACUGGGGACCUUGAGUGCGGGAGAGGCGAGUGGAAUGGUCGGUGUAGCGGUGAAAUGCGUAGGAUAUCGAUCGGAACACCCAUGGCGAAGGCAGC
rnacentral:rRNA from 1 species